GCGCGUUACCGAACGGCGCCGUGCCGUGCGAACCGAACCGCGGCAGCGGCACAGGCACUGCAAAGCACAAAGCGGGGCGGUGGAGUUACACUGCCGCUGUGGGAAACGCGGCGGUAACGGGCGGACAGAUGGGGUUUCCCGACCCAAAUACCGCACGCAGCGUUCAUCCCAGUUGUCCGAGAUUAGAAGAAAAUCCCCGUCGUGACCUUUUCUCCAUAUAUGAAAGGGGAUAAAAGUUUAUCUUUUGUACCCUUUUACUUAACUGCUGAGCCCUGAGAUGUCAGUAUGUGCUCUCUAUCCCAGGGAUGACUUUGUUUUUUGCAGAGUUGAAUGGCUCUGUUUCGAUGUGAAUGCGUUCAGUGGUAAUCGGGUCCUUUCCCCCCCUAAAAAACGAGAUCUUUAGAGGGAACGCAGCCCUGUGAAACAAAGGGUGAGCAAGGGAACGCCCGCAGACUUGGAUCAGAACAAGGACCUGGUGAUCCACGGGGAGAAUAACUGCCAGCAAACUACCAGCCCUUAAAAAGAGCUACAAAAGCAUUUCUGUAAAGGCCUGAAUACCCAACUGCUCCGUUCCCAGUCCCUGGCAGCAGCCUGCAGCAUGCACUUGUGCGUGCAAUACUAUGGAACUUCCCUGGCUCAUCACUUUGUUUCUUGUGGGCUCUAAUUAGUCAGUAAUGACUUGGGUUAGAGCAGUUGCUAUAAAUUAGCGGCUGGCUAGGAGGAGUUGGGACUGCCAUAUUGGCUACCAUGUUAAUAACACCAGCUGGCUCCUGAAUUCCUGAACAACAUUUUAAAUCAAGUUUGCACAGCACUGAGAUAAAGGUUCGGUUAAACACUUUUGGAACGUUUAACUUAGAAGCAUAGAAUCAUAGGAUCACCGUGGUUGGAAAAGAGCACCAAAACAUGCAGUCCAACCAUCCACCAGUGUUUUCCCACAAAACUACGUCCCUUAGUUACAACAGCUUUAUCGUUUCUGUAGCUUACUUUUUGUCAAGCUAAGCAUGAGAGUAUUUACCUCAUUUUCAGGUAUACGCUGCAAUCACAAUGAAUUGCUGACUGGGGAGCUAUUCACCUUAUAGUAAUAGCUACAAGAAACUGGAUGAGCUAGCAGCUCUUCAGUUGCAUUCACUGUUCAUCGCCUGCAUGCCUAGCUGUGGGUACCAGCAGGAUGCCUGUGGAUGUUAGGAACGCUGAUUGCACGAACUGGUGUAGCCAGGCCUGACCCAUUUGCAGCUCUCCUGGACAAGCUCAGUUAUUUCCUUCUGUUCAGCUGCCACCAUGCAAGCUGGUUAUUUAAAAGGCAGCCAUCUGAGAAAGGGGAGACUAUUCGUCAUCGGGCAGGAAACUGUUUGCUGAAGCCUUUUCUUUUUCUUCUAUAGGCCUCACUUUAAAUUAAUAAUUUAUUUUCUUUUCCAAUCCUGAACUGAAUAUGGACCACUUCCUUUUUAGACUGGCUGUCAGGGUCUUCAGCGGUAUUAAUCCAGGAAACUCUUAGAAGACGUGGCUCCACUUCCGUGGGCUACUCAGCAUCCCUAUAAUCUGUCUUACCACUGUUUAUCUGGGGACACAUACAAGCAAGUUUGAUGACUAUAACGUGAAGUCAUAAAUCCAGGAGUUCUGUUACUAUGGUUUGGUGCCAGCUGAGGAAGUUGGCAGCUCGGGUUAUCUGACCCAGAAACAGAGAAUGCUGGAAGCUGGUGGCUGCCCCUGUCCCCAGGAUGGAUCUCAAGCACUGAGAGGUAUAACUCAGACUGCUACCACUCCCUCAGCAAGACAGCAGGCCACCUGAAGUUUUAACCCAUCUUUGCUUAUCCUUUCAACACUGCACACCUCCUGCAGAUUAGACUCCAAGCUUUCAGCUUUAAGUGGGACACAUACAGCUCUCCUUAACUGUGACUGGGUUUGAAGUGUCAUCUCAGUCUUCUCCUUGGAAAGUAAAAUAUACGUUGGCUACAAUAGAUCUGUUUCACAGGAGUGGAAACAAGGGGAAGUCCUCUGCGGCGUGAAAAUUAAAGUGGAAAUUCCAGAAUAGUUCAAGAUUUCAUAUCUUUGAGUGACCAAAAUUCCUGUCAACGUUAAGGUAACUUUCCGAGUAAGAACCGUAAGUCACCUCAGAAUGAGUGUAUUUGGAGUGAAAACUGAAGAAUAAAGCAGAAGGGACUCAGGGGGAGUGGCUGCUGUCCAUUUUAUUUAUUUGUUUUAAAACAGGCAUUUUACAACUUCGCCUAACUGUACCAACUGGCAAGAAAUAGGUAUCAAAAUGGCAGUCAGAGAAGAUUUUGUAAGGGUAUCUGCAAUGCAGAACAGUCCUCUGCAUCAGCCUCAAUAUGAAUGCGUAAGGCUUUCCAUGGGGCACAAUGCUAAUUGCAGAAAAAUGAUAUUUACCAUUUCCAGACAUCUGCAGGUAACACAUCCAGAUCCAUCUGAUUCUCUUUUAGUCACAUGGAUACUGAAUCCAUUAUUUUCUACUGAAUUACAAUUAGAUUUUUUUAAAUGCACUGCAUUUAAAGAAAAUCAAGGGAAUUUAAUGCCGUAAGUUGACAGGGAUAGAGCUGCAAAAUUAGAGCCAGAUUUAAUGUCAGCUUUAACUCACUGAACAGCACCUUGGACUAUUUAUUUUAUCCUUUUAAGUAUCAAUUUACUUAAGCUAUGUUGGUAUUUAAACUGCAAAGCAGUUGGUGGAAGCAUUGUAUUUAAUAUUGUUCAUCCGCAGAGAGAGGCACUCAGGACUUUUUGUUCCUGUUCAUUUGGUUGGACUGGCAGGAAGGAUGUUACUGUGGCAAGUCAGCUGGUCUGAUCAGAAAUAGCAACACAUCUUUCUGGAUUUUAAAAUUGCAUUACCAUUCGUAGGUAUUUCGUAGGCUUAGACAGCUAACAAAAAUUACCUUAAAAUCCAGUUGAACGUAGAAUUAUAUUAAUUCAGGUCUUUUUGUUGUUUAGCCAAUAAAACCUUUAUCUGCAAACGUUUAGACUUUACCUACGAGAACGUCUACUGGUGUCAUCUACGUUCUCUUUGCUAUUCACUACACACAGCAAAUACUUUAAAAAACAAAAACAAAAAACAAGCCUUAAGCACUAUGGCAAGAAGAGCGGUGAUCUAGGACAAUAGCUUUGGUGCUAACUUCUGUUGUGGCCAGUGGAGUGAGACAGAGCAAAAGCUCUUGCUGACAUGCCUUCUGUCAAAGAAGUUCCUGCCAGUGCAAAGCGGUGUUUCUUCUGAACUGGGUCAGGAAGAUGAAUUAUAGGGCAUGCUCUGCAUCCCCUCUGAGAAGCAGCAAAGUGCAGCCCAGUCUCAUAAUUGUUAGCAAUUACCGCUAGCAUAUAAAGAUAGGUAGCUAGAAAAGCAAGACAACAUAAUUAUAUCAACAGCUUACGCCAUUUUAGAUCCCUAACGCACAGAAACAUUGGGCUGAUUUUCUUCUCUAGUGUUUUCCUUCCAUAUAGAGCACUCUCGCCACUCAGCUUAACAAAACAGAAGGGGUUUUGUACCCCCUGUGAAAGACUUAUUUACCUCUUCAAAAUCCAUUUACCUCAGUUUCAUUUUAUUAUGACAUCGUUUACUUUGCUUCGUCCAGCACCACGUUACUGGUAAUUGCCUUCCCACCCUCUGCCUUGGACUCUUGCUGGUGCCUCCUUUCUUUCAUCCAUAUUUUUGCAGCCACAGUGUCACUUGACCCCUCCAGCUUGGGCAAUGCUGGCGUGAAACCCAUAUUUAUCAGCUCAGCAGAAGUUAUUAGCUCCAUCUCACGCAGAGCCCUGGGUCACCUUUCAUGUUAGCAUGUCUCAUUAGAGAGGCAUUCCUCAUCAGCUGAAACUGGUGUACAGGAUCUUCCCAAG
ensembl:lncRNA